rnacentral:rRNA from 1 species
AACGAACGCUGGCGGCAUGCCUAACACAUGCAAGUCGAACGAGACCUUCGGGCUUAGUGGCGCACGGGGGCGUAACGCGGGGGGACCUGCCCUUAGGUUCGGAAUAACUCCCCGAAUGGGGUGCUAAUGCCGGAGAAUGUCUUCGGACCAACGAUUUAUCGCCUUUGGAUGGGCUGUCGUUGGAUUAGCUGGUUGGGAGGGUAAACGCGUACCACGGCGUGGAUCCAUAGCUGGUCAGAGAGGAUGGUCAGCCACACUUGGACUGAGACACGGCCCAGACUACUACGGGAGGGAGGAGUGGGGAAUAUUGGACAAUGGGGUGAAGCCUGAUCCAGCAAUGCUGGGUGAGUGAUGUAGGUCGUAGGGUUGUAAAGCUCUUUUACCCGGGACGAUAAUGACGGUACCGGGAGAAUAAGCUCCGGCUAACUCCGUG